UACGAAGGGUGCAAGCGUUAAUCGGAAUUACUGGGCGUAAAGCGUGCGCAGGCGGCUUUGCAAGACAGAUGUGAAAUCCCCGGGCUUAACCUGGGAACUGCAUUUGUGACUGCAUGGCUAGAGUGCGGCAGAGGGGGAUGGAAUUCCGCGUGUAGCAGUGAAAUGCGUAGAUAUGCGGAGGAACACCGAUGGCGAAGGCAAUCCCCUGGGCCUGCACUGACGCUCAUGCACGAAAGCGUGGGGAGCAAACAGG
rnacentral:rRNA from 1 species